AAAAAUUUGUCUCUCUUAUCAAACAUGCAGUCUUUCAUGGGACUUAGACUUAACCUGCAAUUAACUGCUUGCUUAGUUGGAUUUCUAAUAGCCUGCACUGUCUCUGCCCAAGACACUUCUGAAGGAUCAGGAGGCGGAGGUUUCUGGGAUAAAAUUAUGUCCUUCGUAGGAGCUUUGAUCAAACCUUUCAACACCAUGAUGGCCAGCAUUACAAAACUUGAUCAACUGCCAUCAAGUUAACAGAACCAAUGAGCAAGCAGGAAAAGGAAUCAGUGCCAAUGGAUGGUUCAGGUGAAAAUGUUGCCAGUUUUAUUUUAUAAAUAAAAUAACAAAUACAAGUUUUUGUAUGAA